rnacentral:rRNA from 1 species
UUCCGGUUGAUCCUGCCGGACCCGACCGCUAUCGGGGUAGGGCUAAGCCAUGGGAGUCUUACACCCUCGGGAAGAGGGUGUGGCGGACGGCUGAGUAACACGUGGCUAACCUACCCUCGGGACGGGGAUAACCCCGGGAAACUGGGGAUAAUCCCCGAUAGGGGAAGAGUCCUGGAACGGUUCUUCCCCUAAACGGUUAUGGGCUGUUCCCGCUCAUAACCGCCCGAGGAUGGGGCCGCGGCCCAUCAGGCUGUUGGCGGGGUAAAGGCCCGCCAAACCUAUAACGGGUAGGGGCCGUGGGAGCGGGAGCCCCCAGUUGGGCACUGAGACAAGGGCCCAGGCCCUACGGGGCGCACCAGGCGCGAAACGUCCCCAAUGCGCGAAAGCGUGAGGGCGCUACCCCGAGUGCCUCCGAAAGGAGGCUUUUCCCCGCUCUAAUAAGGCGGGGGAAUAAGCGGGGGGCAAGUCUGGUGUCAGCCGCCGCGGUAAUACCAGCUCCGCGAGUGGUCGGGGCGCUUACUGGGCCUAAAGCGCCUGUAGCCGGCCCACCAAGUUACCCCUUAAAGACCCGAGCUCAACUCGGGGACUGGGGGUAAUACUGGUGGGCUAGGGGGCGGGAGAGGCGGGAGGUACUCCCGGAGUAGGGGCGAAAUCCGUAGAUACCGGGAGGACCACCAGUGGCGGAGGCGUCCCGCUAGAACGCGCCCGACGGUGAGAGGCGAAAGCCGGGGCAGCAAACGGGAUUAGAUACCCCGGUAGUCCCGGCUGUAAACGAUGCGGGCUAGGUGUCAGACGGGCUUAGGGCCUGUCUGGUGCCGCAGGGAAGCCGUUAAGCCCGCCGCCUGGGGAGUACGGUCGCAAGACUGAAACUUAAAGGAAUUGGCGGGGGAGCACCACAAGGGGUGGAACCUGCGGCUCAAUUGGAGUCAACGCCGGG